UACGGAGGUGGCUAGCGUUGUUCGGAAUUACUGGGCGUAAAGAGCGCGUAGGCGGCUUACCAAGUUGGGGGUGAAAUCCCGGAGCUCAACUCCGGAACUGCCUUCAAAACUGGUAGGCUCGAGUCCGGAAGAGGGGCGUGGAAUUCCCAGUGUAGAGGUGAAAUUCGUAGAUAUUGGGAAGAACACCGGUGGCGAAGGCGGCUCCCUGGUCCGGUACUGACGCUGAUGCGCGAAAGCGUGGGGAGCAAACAGG
rnacentral:rRNA from 1 species